GACGAACGCUGGCGGCGUGCCUAAUACAUGCAAGUUGAGCGCUGAAGGUUGGUACUUGUACCAACUGGAUGAGUAGCGAACGGGUGAGUAACGCGUGGGGAAUCUGCCUUUGAGCGGGGGACAACAUUUGGAAACGAAUGCUAAUACCGCAUAAAAACUUUAAACACAAGUUUUAAGUUUGAAAGAUGCAAUUGCAUCACUCAAAGAUGAUCCCGCGUUGUAUUAGCUAGUUGGUGAGGUAAAGGCUCACCAAGGCGAUGAUACAUAGCCGACCUGAGAGGGUGAUCGGCCACAUUGGGACUGAGACACGGCCCAAACUCCUACGGGAGGCAGCAGUAGGGAAUCUUCGGCAAUGGACGAAAGUCUGACCGAGCAACGCCGCGUGAGUGAAGAAGGUUUUCGGAUCGUAAAACUCUGCUGGUAGAGAAGAACGUUGGUGAGAGUGGAAAGCUCAUCAAGUGACGGUAACUACCCAGAAAGGGACGGCUAACUACGUG
rnacentral:rRNA from 1 species